GGGAAGGAAAGAGGGAGGAGAUAGGAUCAAUUUUAAAAGUAGCACGAGUUAAUUUAGAAAACAGUUCAAACUCAUCUAUUAAAAUUAACAAUUGUAGUAUAGUUUAAAGUCAGAUUGCUUCUCCGUAUUUAUUUGAGUCCCCCAAAACAAGGCUAUUGCCCCAGGGCUUCCUCCACAGAGUCCAGACACACCCAGCUAGGUUAGCUCAUUUCCAUCCCUGUGCUUGGGUGGUCUGUUACUUUAAGGAGAACUGCACCCCAGAGAUGGUUUCACAGCUGCUGACCCUUCCACCUGCCCUUCUUGGGAGCACCCAGACCCAGUGCUCAGGACAGGGAGGCUGAGAAAACAGGAUUCCACUCCCACGGCAGACUGAGUUAACCAUUCCCUUUGCAAAACAAAACAUUUUUAAAACCCUGACAGUUGAUUUUCUGGAGCAGUCUCCUCAUCUCCUGAUCUCUCCACCCAUCUCCAAGUCAGGCUCCGCUCUUUCCCUCAUCUAUCCUAUUUUACUCUCUUGUAACUAUGAUAAAACACCACGACCAAAAGCAACUUGGGGAGGAAAGGGUUUAUUAGGCGUACACAUCCCAGUCACAGUUUAUUAUUGAAAGAAGCUGAAGCAUAAACUUUAAAGCAGGGCAGGGCCCUUGGAGGCAGAAAUUGAAACAGAGGCCUUGAAGUUAGGCUGUUCACUGGCUCGUUUCCCAUGGCUGGCUCAGUUUUCUUUUUUUCUUUUUUUUUUUUUUUUCUUUUUUACACUAGAGACCACCUGCCCAAGGGUGGCUCUGUGCAUAAUAGGCUGGGUCUGCCCCAGACUUGCCCACAGGCCAAUCUGAUAGACGAGUUUCUCCCUUCCCCCCUUCCCUCCUCCCUCUCUCCACUUGGGGGAGAACAUUUUGAGGUCUCCCUCUACAUGGCUAUUUUGGAACUCACUAUGUAGACCCGGCUGGCCUGAAACUCACAAAGAUCUGCCUGCCUCUGCUGGGAUUAAAGGCACGUGCUACCCACCCAUACCUGAGGUUCCCUCUUCUCAGAAGAUCCUAGCUUGUGUCAAGUUGACAACAACUAACCAUCGAACCAUCCUUCCUCCUUCCCUUUCUGGGGACAUGUAACGCUCCUCUCUCCCACUGAUGAGCGCAGGAGGUAGAAAUUGACUAGACAAGGCUGGGGCGCAGGGAGUGAUCGGCCUUUUCUUGGCUAAAGGCUGGAAAUAGGUCAAAGAUGCCACAAGUGCCUAAGCCAAGUGCCACCAGGCUGGAGAGGCCAGGAAGGAGGUCGUCGUCUCCUACCCCUUUCCUGGACGCCAUACUGAGGCUGUGACCCAAACUGCAAGGACCUCGACACCUGGCAUGAAAGCUGAACUGGAGAUGUGUAGCGGCGGCAGUGGCAGCAGCAGCAGCAGGAAGAGCCCGGCAAUGGGACAGGAUAGGAGGCAAGCUUUAGGGAGAAAAAGGAGAUCCCUGUGAAACUUACUGGACAUUAUAUCUGGCUGCUGCUCUCUGGUUGUCACCCAGGAUCUCUCAACCUCGUCAGUCUCCUGCCCCAGCUCCUUCUAAAAGGUAUGCCAAACUGGCAGUGUGACUCUGGCUUUCCUUAACACCUCUUGCCACUGUAAGCGGUUGCUGAUUAUCAUCAGUUCCAUCGACAGCAGUUCCCCCGCUGCAGGACUCCACUCCUUGUUUUGCAGUGGCGCCCUAGAUACCAUCACAGCCACAACAUCCCCCAAAUUCAUAUUUUAUGAAUACUUACUUGCCAGGCAGUAGGUUACACCCUUUACAUGCCUGCUGCCUCAUUUUAGUCUGGCUAGGAAUUACCACCCUACAGAGGGGAAAAUGAAACUCCAGGAAGCAGAGGCCUGGGACCACAGAGGGCACAGCAGAGUCCACGACUCAAAACCAUCCUGACCUGGAACCCCACAUUCUUGACCAAAACAAUCUAGGUAAUCCACCAGGAUGUUAAAUUUACUAUUUCUCACAGUGAAUUCAUUUCUAUCCCUUCCUCCUGGCUCUCCCAGAAUGUCCUGGUUUAUAAUGACUUUACCUUCAUCUUUCCCAAGACAGGAACUCCAAACCUAGCACAACCUUCACUUCACUGUUUCUCUUUACACUUACAUUCAGUCACCAAGACCUAAAGCCUUGACCUCAGGGUCUCCACCACCCAUCUUUCAAAAUUCUAAUAUCUACCCUGGAUCAAGUCCUUUUUAUUCUUCCUAUGGACUUAGCUCUUCACCAAAAUUUAUGGCUCAAAAAGCUUUAUCAUAUUCACAGUGUUUCUUUCAGAAAGGAGCUGAAGUCAGAAUACAACAAAGCCAGCUCCCGCUGGCCUCACCCUAGGUGGAACUUUUACAGUGCUUAUCAUCUCUACCUUACAUUUCAGAACUUAAUCAGAAAUAGGUGGUCAGCAGUGGUGACCCAGAGGCAGGGGGACCUCUGUGAGUUCAAAGACAGUCUGACUGGUAUUCCAGGACCACUAAGACUGCACAGAGAAAACCUGUCUCAGAAAAAGAAAAGGAAGGAAGAAAGGAAGGAAGGGAGAAAGGAAGGAAGGAAAGAAAGAAGGGAAAAGAAAUAGGCUUGCAUUGUGAUUUAACAACCACAUAAAGAGAUCCCUCUGUCCUAAGGAAUUAGGAUAGGAAAUUAGGAAGCAGAGGCUCUGUUGUGCCACUAGCCCCUAGUGACACAGUGUCUGCCAGCGGUGCUUUGCCUCCAACAGUUCCUAAUUUUAAGUUUCAGAAUGACAUAUGUGACUGUUUUAAUUUGGAUCACAUGUACCUCGAUUAAUGCAGCCUAAGCAACAAAUCACCCCAAACCCACCUGUAAAUAGAGCUUAUGUCCAAAGCACAGAGACACACGCCAUUCUCUCAUCUGUUUAUACAUCUGGCAAGGUGAGCGCCUACCAAAGGUACCCAGUGCUGCCAACAUGCCGUGCCCUCACACCAUGACAGUCACCUGAAGAAAAGACACUCCCAGAUAAAGUCUAACAGCACUCGUAGGAGAUCAAUUCAGCUACACAGAAUGAAGUUAAUUUGACACAUUCUGAAAGCCUCUAGUGGUAAACAGUCAAUAUCCGCUAGGGCAACAGUAAGUUAAACAGAAGUUCACAGUAUCACCGCAAAGAACGGGCACAAAGGAGCUUACAGAGCUGGGGAAGUAGCUCGGUUGGUAGCGCUCUUAUCUAGCACAUACAGGCCUGUGGUGGUGCAGGCCUGUAAUCUCACAAUGGACAAGUGCAGGUAGGAGAAUCUAAAGUUAAAGGGCUUACUCAGCUCUAACCCUAGAUAUGAGAGACCUUGGUUUAAAAAAAAAAAAAAAAAAGAUUUAACAAAAGUGGAAAACUACCCAAAUGGCCAGCAGCACAGACCGCAUAAAACACGACACUCAUACGGCACCAGGAGUGAGCGCACUGCAGAUCUGCAGCAGACACUGGUAUAAAGUCUCUGAUCAACACAACGCUAAGGAAAAGGAAAUGGGGCUGGAGAGAUGACUCAGCAGGCAAGAGCACAGGCUGCACUUGCAGAGGACCUGGGUUCUGCUCCCAGCACCUAUAUGGGGAGUGACAACCAUCCCCAUAUAGCUACACUUCCAAAGGAUUUUUCCAAAGAGUGGGAUUCCUCACGCUUCUGACCCCCACAGAUACUAGGCACAAACAUGGUUCAAAUAUAUGUAUAUAUGCAGGUGAAACACUCUGACACAUAAAGUAAAAGUUGAUCUUUUAAAAGAAGAAAAGAAAGAGGGGGCUGGUGAGAUGGCU